UGGCGAUGAGGAGAUACCUACCGUGUUGAAUUAUGGUGAUAGUUUUUAUACGCUAUUCUGAGCCAACU
ensembl:snoRNA SNORD54 small nucleolar RNA, C/D box 54